CACCUCCUCAUCCUGCUGCUGGCUCGCCUCCUUACUCCUUGGCCAGGGCCCUCCCUGCCACUCACCUCACCCCCACCCCGCAGUCCCCUGCUGCUCACCUCCUCAACUCCCCGCUGCUCACUCCCGCCUCCUUACCCCACCCCCACUCGUCUACUCCCCCGCUCGCAGCCAGACCCCCACUCGCCCUCCUCACCCUGCUGCUGGCUCACCGCUCACCUCCUUACUCCUCCGCCAGGGCCCACUGCCAUUCGCAUCUUGUUUUCUCAUCUCCUCACCCAUUGCUCACCUUGCUGCUCGCUUCCUCAUCCCCCGCCCACUGAUCGCCUUACCGUUCUCCUCCUCAUCCCCCCACUUGCCUCGCUGCUCGCUUCCUCACCUCCUCACCCCCCGCUCACCUCUCGCCUCCUCACCCCACCCCUGCUUGCCUCCUUACUCCCCUGCCAGGCCCCCCCGUCCACUGCUUGUCUCACCACUCACUUCCAUAGGCGGCAGGCUCCCCCAUCCACUGCUCGCCUCGCCGCCUCACCUUGUUCCUUAAGCGUUGUGUGUCCCACCUGUGUCUCCAGAGAGGCAGUGCAUGCAGGAGCAACAGGAGGAAGUUUGUUCAAGAUGGCGAUGGAAGCUGAGCACGAGGUCCAGAGUUAUCCCUAGGAUUGCAUCAAAGGCAGCUUUCUCUUGAAUAAUACACUAAUAUCAGGACCGUUCUACUCGUUCUUGCAAAGCUCUACUCAUCAGAAAGCCCCGAUUCUCAAAUGAUGCAGCUCCAGUGAAGUCAAGUACAAUUAUACUGUACUAAUAGAUAUGUCACUCUGUGAACCAACGCUGAUUUACUCCAGGUGAGGAAGGGC